AGUGGACGCUGGCGGUAGGCCUAACACAUGCAAGUCGAACGGCAGCACAGUAAGAGCUUGCUCUUACGGGUGGCGAGUGGCGGACGGGUGAGGAAUACAUCGGAAUCUACUUUUUCGUGGGGGAUAACGUAGGGAAACUUACGCUAAUACCGCAUACGACCUACGGGUGAAAGCAGGGGAUCUUCGGACCUUGCGCGAUUGAAUGAGCCGAUGUCGGAUUAGCUAGUUGGCGGGGUAAAGGCCCACCAAGGCGACGAUCCGUAGCUGGUCUGAGAGGAUGAUCAGCCACACUGGAACUGAGACACGGUCCAGACUCCUACGGGAGGCAGCAGUGGGGAAUAUUGGACAAUGGGCGCAAGCCUGAUCCAGCCAUACCGCGUGGGUGAAGAAGGCCUUCGGGUUGUAAAGCCCUUUUGUUGGGAGAGAAAAGCAGCAGGUUAAUACCCCGCUGUUCUGACGGUACCCAAAGAAUAAGCACCGGCUAACUUCGUG
rnacentral:rRNA from 1 species